rnacentral:lncRNA from 1 species
AGCAGGGUGACACUGAUCUGUCACACAGGGCAGUGGUGACACUGAUCUGUCACACAGGGCAGGGUGACACUGAUCUGUCACACAGGGCAGGGUGACACUGAUCUGUCACACAGGGCAGGGUGACACUGAUCUGUCACACAGGGCAGGGUGACACUGAUCUGUCACACAGGGCAGGGUGACACUGAUCUGUCACACAGGGCAGGGUGACACUGAUCUGUCACACAGGGCAGGGUGACACUGAUCUGUCACACAGGGCAGGGUGACACUGAUCUGUCACACAGGGCAGGGUGACACUGAUCUGUCACACAGGGCAGGGUGACACUGAUCUGUCACACAGGGCAGGGUGACACUGAUCUGUCACACAGGGCAGGGUGACACUGAUCUGUCACACAGGGCAGGGUGACACUGAUCUGUCACACAGGGCAGGGUGACACUGAUCUGUCACACAGGGCA